GGUCUUUUAGUUUAAUUAAAAACAUUAAAUUGCAAAUUUAAAAAUGAUUAGAAGUCUAAGACUU
rnacentral:tRNA from 2 species